GGUAAAAAGGUUUGUCAGAGAACAGGAGAAACUGCAGCAAAAAGUUGAUGUUGAGAGCCAGGGU
rnacentral:tRNA from 1 species